AUCUUCUCUCAGAGUUUUUGCUCUGAUUAUGUGUAGUAUCUGUUCUAGAAAGCUUAAUCUCUUUCUGCCUCCACACGUUGCGAGGCUGUUAUGAUUAACCUAAUUUAUUUUGGAGUACUAUGACUAUUUAUAUUUGGCAACUAUGUUGUCCACAUUGUAAACAGUCUUCUAUCGACCAUGAAUCGCACUAUUAUCAUGGUAAUAAAAAGGUAGACUCCCC
rnacentral:snRNA from 1 species